rnacentral:lncRNA from 1 species
UUGCCAGAAUACCUCUGAAUUUUCUGAUCUUUCUUGGCAGAGAAGUCACGGAGGGAUGGAAGUGAACUCCCUGUCCCAUGUAUGACCACCAGCUCCCAGACAGAAAGGACAGCAAGAACUCAGCUGUGGGCAAAAUCCUAACCAGAAGCCCUUCUUCCACUGAGGUGGCAGCAGCUCACACAGGGAGACAAGGCUGUGGCUUGGCAUCCCAGUUUUUUCGGGAAGGAAGGUGGGACAAAUGAAGCAAAGCAGGAAGUUGGUUCAGCUGGGACAAAAGAUGUGGUUGGGCUGUGGACCUCUGUGCUGUAGGAUGUUUCAGGUGACUGAAGCUUGCACAGGUCUGAGGGUACACUGAAGAAACCCAUGGAAGAGAAAUCCAAUACACUGAACAAACCCAUGAAAGAUUCAAGAUUGCUACUGCUUAGAAAUUGCAUCUGGUUUAGAGAACCUACAAAUGCCUAGGAACUGGAGGAACCCAUGGAAAGCAUAUAGCCUUGUCCUGUUUUUGUACUCCUUCUAGGCAUCCUGGCUUUGUCCACUGAUGUUUAUUACAGAGAUAAAUGAAUCCUUGGUCUGUCCCUAUGGGCUUAUUCUUCUGUUCACAUACUUUAGUCUCUUUGAUAGCAGAAGUGGUUGGUGCACAUGUAAAUGUGCAAGUAAUUAAUGACAAAUUAAGGACAAAUUAAUGAAACUUAUGAAGCAAAUUUUAAUGAUCUUCCUUAUCAUUACACAUCCUUCCAUGUUCCAGAAGAAAAUGAAUUACAGUCAUUACAUAAUAGGUGUUGUGCCUGAAGACCAUUGAGGAGAUAAGCAGCACUUGUAGUCUCUGCCUAGACUAUAUGCUUAGCUUUAUCUAGUCUGGCUUAACAGUUUCACAAAAUUUCGAGAAACUAAAUAUAUAAUUUUCAAUAUCCUCACUAAAAUCUGGCUUUGGUUCUACAGUUUGGAGGUGCUCAGACUUUUAAACUACCUGGGGAAUAAUGUUCACCUUAAAAUACAAGCGCUUUUACCCAUUUCAUUGAAAAUCCAGUAGUCCAAGAUAGUGAAUAAACUGCAAAAAUUACCUCUUAAAGCCA